AAUGAACGCUGGCGGCAUGCCUUACACAUGCAAGUCGAACGGCAGCAUGACCUAGCUUGCUAGGUUGAUGGCGAGUGGCGAACGGGUGAGUAAUGCAUCGGAACGUGCCUUUUAGUGGGGGAUAACGUAGCGAAAGUUACGCUAAUACCGCAUAUUCUCUGAGGAGGAAAGCAGGGGACCUUCGGGCCUUGCGCUAGAAGAGCGGCCGAUGUCGGAUUAGCUAGUUGGUGAGGUAAAGGCUCACCAAGGCAACGAUCCGUAGCGGGUCUGAGAGGUUGAUCCGCCACACUGGGACUGAGACACGGCCCAGACUCCUACGGGAGGCAGCAGUGGGGAAUUUUGGACAAUGGGCGCAAGCCUGAUCCAGCCAUGCCGCGUGAGUGAAGAAGGCCUUCGGGUUGUAAAGCUCUUUCGGCUGGGAAGAAAUCGCACCCUCUAAUACAGGGUGUGGAUGACGGUACCAGCAUAAGAAGCACCGGCUAACUACGUG
rnacentral:rRNA from 1 species